ACUUUUGCACAGUGGCAGUAUCAUAGCCAAUGAGGUUUAUCCAAGGCUCUAUUGUAGCUAAUUGAAAAUCCUCCCAAUAUGCUGCCAUGAUGACUUGAAAUAUAGUCAGCAUUGGCAAUUUCUUUCUUUCUUUCUUUUUUUUUUUUUUUGAGA
rfam:Otolemur garnettii contig047377, whole genome shotgun sequence.